AAAAGAGUUAUUUCAACGACGAUUCACCAGAACAUCAGAAGAUAGAUAUGGAAACCCCCCAAAGCAGUCUAAAAAACGCCCGUUUUUAAUGUGUUUUCUUAAGUGUCAGAUUUGUUCAUUCAAGAGUUGAAAAAUAUAUUUAGUCACAUGCUCCAAUUAAAAAAAAAUAAACAGCAUUCCUGAUCUCCUCAUCCAGAGCAGUUCUAAUCAUUGCUAAAAAUAAAGUCUUUACCCUGAGUCACAUCAUCCAAGUCAUAAUAAUUAAAUACCAAGGAGCAGAAGCUUGCGAGGGCUGAGGUCUGAUUUCAUUCCAGAUGUGCAUUUUUCACUGAGUAUCAAAGGCACAGAGUUUCUGCAGGGCAGCCAAGGCGGCUGGGUGCCAAGCGGAGCAUUUUCUUGGACCUACAAAAAGCUAACCUGCUAGACCUGAAAUUCUGAGUGAGCUGAGCUCAUCUUCCCGAACAGCCUAAUGUUUUAAUGACCUUGAAUUGACUCUCAUCUACCUACGAACAUAUGUGUAAUCACAGCGACAUUUCAGCCUGGAAUUAUUUUCAAAACAUGUCCAUCUCUUUGCAACUCCCAUCGAAGACCAAGGCAGAGAGGUAUUUCGGCAGAGCCUCCUCGUCCUCCACCAGCGCACCAGCUCCCACUAACAUCCUUGUUGGAGGCGAACAAGGCCACAGGGUCGUUGCCACUGCGGGCUAGUUUUAGUGCAGGGGGGGAGACCUUGCUCUCCCGAGGUCCCCUGAGAAAAGCAGCUUUGAGGCUUAGGUACAGUUCUAAAAGCAAUUUCAAAUGUCAGUGGGACUGUUCUUUCUGGGUUGGGAUGGCUUUGUAAAACAUUCAAUUUGGCCGCAUUGAAGGUCAGAGCUUAUAAAACCUAACUCAAUAAAUACAGAUCAUAACAAACGUUCAGGGAAUGACAAAGAGGGAGAAACGAUGGAGGAAACCACAGCAAAAAUGAGUGGAAGAAGCAGGAAGUGCGAACCAGAGAGUAAAAGAGAGGAACAGAAGUAACGGACUCACAUGAUGGAGAAAUAAUGAGAAAAACGGAGACGGGAAAAGCAAGUAUUUAUUCGCCUUAAGAGCUCUUCCCCUUAACUCAGGGUGAGUUUCUGUGAUGGCAUUUUUAUGGAAAGCAAUGGUGAGGGGUACCCAAGAAAUCACCCCCACUGCAGCCCAGGCCACACCUGUGGCAUAUGAAAGCUCUCAGGCUAGGAGUUGAAUUGGAGCUGCAGCUGCCGGCCUACACCACCGCCAUAGCAAUGCCAGAUCGAGCCAUGUCUGUGACCCAUGCCACAUAUGGCCACACUGGUUCCUUAACCCACUGAGUGAGGCCAGGGAUGGAACCCGCAUCCUCACUGACACUGUGUCGGGUUCUUAACCCACUGAGCCACAACUGGGCCUCCAAGAAAUUUUCUGAGAGACAAUAUUAACAACUUUGUUGGAGAAGGAUGCAAUUUUACCCAGGACUGUGUCUCCCCGGCCAGCUCAAGAAGGUGCGGGCCACCAACAAGGGCUCUUCGAAGCCUGUGAGAAGCCAGAGCACCUCGGAAGUCUGCCGCUUGGUCUCGAGGGGGCACCCGGUGUCCCCAGCAUUCCUUCAGGGAAAUUGGGUGUUGGGGGUCAACAUAGCAGGAGCACACGUGGAAAGAUUUGUGUGCGCUUUCUCUUGUGUUGCCUUCCUUUCUGUUUCUAAUUGGUAGCCACAUAUUGUUUUGCCUCGGGGAGGGUUUUAGGACAUGGACCACCUAGAGCCGUAGUUUCUCCUGUCUUUGAUAAAGCCUAAAUUUGUGGAUGGAAUUAGGCUGAGAUCCAGAAAGAUGGAGGGAGAUAGGGAGUGCCUCGGGGGCCAGCUCAUCGGCGGAGAGAGGUGUGGGUCCUCCCGACAGAGCAAGAGGCCCGUGGCUUCUCCCAGAAACUGGUCCUGGGGCCCCGCAGCCUCCCACCCAGGAAGCCAGAGCUUGUGUAGACACCUAAGGGGCACAGAACUAUGGCCAUAGCAGCAGAAGGGAACGGGGGCAGGGACAAUGGGCAUCUCAAAGGAGGAAUGCUGGUCCCUGCCUCUAAGGACCUUUCUACACUUUGAUGCCAUUUCCAACCUGGUAUCCAUGGCUACUGACCACACCUGUUUGAUGGCCGUUCUACACUCAGAUGCCUGGCCACAGUAACCAGAAGUACCGGAAUCCAGCCUGCACUCAGCUCGCCAAAACAUACACCACGGGCAGUGCCUUUUCCCAACAUGCUCACAGGUGCCACAGCGCUUGGCAGCACCCCUGCUGCUACCUCAGCCCCGCUUUAGGGUCCGAGCAUCUCUAAGGACAUGGUCAGUUUCCCAGCACAGGGGUAGGCUGGGAGGGGCUUGCAGCCAGAUGGAGGGGGGUUAAAGAAGUGGAUUCUCCAUUGGAGACAGAUACUCUCCACUCUCAGCACAGGGGUCAGCCUUUCUCACACCCCGUCGCGGAAGGGUGAGCCUCGCUGCGGCCCAGAAGCACGUCGUGUGAAGCCGCGCCCCCGGUAGACGCACCACACAGGGGCUGGAGAUGCCUCAUUAGGUCUCACUCCCAGGGAUGGGGGCAACGGAGACCUAUUAGAAGUGACCACACUCGGGCCAACGAGCGACCAUGCGGCCCACCCCGGGACCAGGGAUAGGCCCUGUCCCAGGAGAGCUCUUCUUUGUGGGGGAGGAGCCCCUCAUCACCUUCCCGAGGCGCACACGGGCCGCUCUCCCCGAGGCAUCCAGAACAGAUGCCAUUGCCCUUAGCGGAUGCCACCCCCCCUUAACGGCAGCAGGACCCCGGUCUUUGACCCAUGCAAAUCUCAAUUAGCCGAAAUUACUCAACUGCAGCCGGGCUCUGUCUUCCUUCAAAACACCGAAUUGUGCGAAAGCCACAUUCCUGGGAGUCAGGGCCCCCACCUCCGAGAUCCGACAACCAACCCAUCCCCCAGCCCCUCCCAAGGGGACGCCGUCUUGUGUUUCUUCUCUUAAUGAACUGUGCCAAUCAUUAAGGAAAUUCCGCUGAAACCUUAUUACUAUUGGCGAUCUUUCACUCAUUAGCCAGUGAGCCAAGCAAAUGUCCCCAUUUAUGGCUGCUUCCAGCGCCCAGGUCCAGCCAGGCACUUCAAGAUCCUGUCCGCCUUCCCAUCCCCCCUGCUGAGAAAACCCAGUCGGGCAAAGACUCAAGACACAUGAGGCGACGUUAAUACUGUACCAGAUAACAGUGAGGAAGCCCGCACGCCCAUUAUUACACAUCCGUUUCCCCCAGGUCCCUCCCCGCCGUCCUCCGCAAUUAGAGGGAGAGGGGCGGAGUCACGGCCAACGUCAGGGAUGCUUCUGGGUUCCCCAGUGUACACGGGCUGUUUUUGUGGAUGCGACUGGAUUUCCCUUUAGAAUCCGUCUGUUGGGGGUUGGGCAGGAGGUUGUGCAGGAUGUAAAACCAAGCCGAGAGCUCAUUCCUGGGAUUCACUUAUACUUAAUGAGACGUCCUUCUGGACGUUGCACGGGGUGACCCCAUUGAUGACAGCAAGGCAAAGAUCCAGGACAUCACAGGGGUGCCCCAGGGAAGCAGAAGGUAGAUACAUCCUAGCCCACUGUGACAUCCAGAAAGAAGCCACUCUGAACCGAUCCAGGCCAGACAACGUCCACGUUCUCAAGUUGACUUUAGCUUUUUGAGAAAAAGAGAAAAAGGCAUUUAAAAAGAAAACCUAAUUACAUUCAUUGCAAACACAUCAAAGUGGGAUAUUAAGAACAAGCUAGGUUUUCCUUUUGCUCCUUGGACCCCUCCUCUUGCUUCUUAUGAAACCACAUCAGACAAAUGAAAUCCCCACUGAAUACGCAGAAGUGGGAUUACAUUAGGCAAAUGAAAACAGCGGAUGCUAAUUCUGAAAACUCACAUUAGGUCACUUGGGUUUCCUACCCCGUCUCUUUAUGUAAAGCAAACAAAAGCCUUCUUUUGUUUGCUCUGUUUGGUGAUUAGAUGCUGCUGGUUUACUGUGUCAAAAGAAAGCUGGUAUUCAAAAAAAUUAAAUUUAGUAAAAAAUAAUAGAAACCUGAUGAACAUCUACCUAAACCUUGGACUUGGGGUUUGCGUGGCUUUGGCGUACAUAACAGGCCAACCAUUUCUUUCUCUCUGUUUGCCCGACUGAACCCCCACGGGCCAUGAGGACUAACUAGAAGCAUGAGGAAGCACUGGGGCAGGUAGGAGGUGGGUGCCUGUGUGCAGACAGAUGGCCCUGCCUGGUCACGGGGGCCCCCCCAGGGAGCAGCAGAGGACCAGGACAGCCAUCCCUGUCGUGGGGGCUUGUGGAGCCCCUCUCCUGCAACCAGACCUUGACCCAGACAGUUCCAGGAAAUGAGGCCUUGAAGAGAAGCCAGCGGACGUCAGCCCAAGCCUGCAGGAGGGCAGGGGGUGAGAGGGAAGCUGGAGGAGAGCUGGGGCUGGAGGGGGCCUCUGGGAUGAAAGACCCUGCCCGCUGGGCUUUUCCAAGUCCUCAUGCCUCCUUUCCAGAGCCCCAUGAACCAGCAUCCAUACCGCGUGGGCACCUCCUGGAAAUGCAGAAUCACAGGCCUCUGAAUCAGAAUCUGCAUUUUGAAGCUAUAGUUCUUACGCCCAUUAAAGUUUAAGGAACACAGAUCUAGAAGAUGGCUCAGCCAACAAAAUGCCAGGCCUGCACCUUUAGGGAAAGGAAAGGUCCAGAAAGGAAGAAACAUGGGCAAAAGACGCCCGUAUGGGGCACAAUAAAGAGCAGGCAGGAGGAAAAAGAUCCACAGAGAGAAUUCACUUCCCUGGGGGACAUUGGCUGCCUUUUCAAGCACCUGCUGAAUUGCUUUUUUUUGGUCGUUGUUCCAACCUUCAGAUACAAACCCCCCCCCCACCUCUGCUCACCUCUCAUCCAGGUUCCUGGAAACCCAGGGCGGCAGACCUUCCCUCACGAACGUCUCCAAAAGACCACCUGCCCACCAGCCUUCCCUCCACGUCUCUGAUUCUCAUCACCUGCCGUUCUCCUCAUUUACCAGCAGAAAGAAGAAGCAGAUCAGCCUCACAGGGAAAAGUCGACAGUUGACCAGCCAAGGAGCAGGGUCGCCAGCCUGCGACCCCGUGGUGAAGCCCACCAGCAAAACCACAAGGAGCCCCCAGUUGGCCUUUUUGGGCCUCAUUCCUGCAUCGCCGAGAACAGACCAGCAUCAUGCAGGUCUGAGGAGGGGCUGUUGAUAUUAAAGACAAAGGCCAAGACAAGAUAUCAUUUUUAGAAAACAAAAAACGUUGAAAUAAUACUGAGAGGCCAAAGAAAACUUAAGGAAAAACUGCUAU
rnacentral:lncRNA from 1 species